UGAAAUACUUCCUUUGUGAUGCAAUCU
rnacentral:misc_RNA from 1 species